AUGCUUAAUGAUAGAAUAAACACAUGUGACCUUCUUACCAGGAAAAGCUUUCAUCUUCAAUCCACAUCAUGUGUUUUAUGCAAUGAUGAAGGGAUGGAAGAUAGAACUCAUUUAUUAUUCUCAUGCACCUUCAGCCAAUUUUUUUGGUGGAAUAUUGGUAUUGAGUGGAACACUGACCUGAGCAUACAUGAUAUGAUUAUUGAUGCCAAGCUAAGAUAUAAACUGCCAUUCUUCAUGGAAAUAAUGACUUUGGGAUGCUGGAGUAUAUGGAAUCAGAGAAAUGGAUUGAUCUUUGAGGAUAUCCCAUGCUCUAUAAUUUCAGGCAGAUUUGAUUUCAUCAAAACUUUCAAGCUGACCAUGUUGAGAGCCAAGCCCAGCCUCAAGGAUGGCAUGUCAUCCUCGAUAGACAACAUUUGA
rnacentral:rRNA from 1 species